rnacentral:rRNA from 1 species
CCGACGGUGAGAGGCGAAAGCCAGGGGAGCGAACGGGAUUAGAUACCCCGGUAGUCCUGGCCGUAAACGAUGCGUGUUAGGUGUUGGUAGGGCUCUGAGCCGUAUCAGUGCCGUAGGGAAGCUGUUAAACGCGCCGCCUGGGAAGUACGCUCGCAAGGGUGAAACUUAAAGGAAUUGGCGGGGGAGCACCACAAGGGGUGAAGCCUGCGGUUCAAUUGGACUCAACGCCGGGAAACUUACCGGGGGC